AUUCUGGUUACGGAUUUGCCUUUCCUGAACAUAAUGCUUCUGCCAAAACCACAAUCCUUGGACUUACAGAAUGCCUGAUCCACUCUCAUAGUAUUCCACACAGUAUUGCUUCUGACCAAGGAACUCACUCCACAGUCAGAGAAAUGCAACAAUGACUCCAGUAUCACUGAAUUCACUGGUCUUACCAUGUUUCCCACCAUCCUGAGUCAGCUGGCUUGAUAGAAAAAUGGAAUGAUCUUUUGAAGACGCAGUUUCAUCUCCAAUUCGACUGUAGGGCUGGGACAGGGUUCCCCAGAAGGCAGUAUAUGCUUUGAAUCAAUGUCCAAUAUACGAUAGUUUCAUCCAUAGCCAGGAUCCACUUGGAGGAAAAGGGAAUAGUUUCACUCACUAUCACUCUUAGUGACCCACUAGGUAAAUUGUUUACUACCAGUUUCCACAACCUUAAGUUCUGCUGCCCUAGAAGUUUUGGUUGCCAGAGAGGAGGGUGCUUCUGCCAGGAAAGACAGACAACAAACAUUCCACUGAACUGGAAGCUGAUCCAGGAAAGACAACAAACAUUCUACUGAACUGCAAGCUCAGACUUCCCUCUGGCCACUUUGGGCUUGUGACACCAUUAGACCAACAGGCUAAGGAAGGGGAUAACAGUGAUUGAUGGGUGACUGAUCCACAUUACCAAGGGGAAAUUGGAUUGCUUUUCCACAGUAGAGAUUUCUCUCCUCAGAUUCUUACUUUUAUUCCAUUGUUUCCUGGACACAUUCUACAUGUUUCAGAGGUGUCUGCAUCUCUAACCUAAUCCCUAUUGUGACGUCAUAGAAGGAAGAAGCGGGAAACACUGUUCCUUCCCCUCAGGCUACCUGGCCCUGGAUGUUGGCUUUACAAUGAAGGACAGAGAAUCUGGGAAAGGCAGUGGUCAGCUCUGUCCUGCAGGAACGCCACAUGCAUUCUGUCAGAACAAAGGGCUACCCUGAGCUUUUAUCUUUAACAUCUGAUUUACAACACUGGAUUAGACUGAAGAAUGCUCCGGAAUUGGGAAAGCACAUAGUGUCCAUGAAAGUAUUUCUAGAGAAGAUUGACAUGCGAGUCAGCGAGUUAACUCCCCACCCCCGACCAUGAGAUAGGCUGGCUUUGAACUUCCUAUCAUCCUGCCUUGGGCUUCUAUGUACUGAGAUUACAGUGUAAUUCCUGUGAGUAAACUCAGAUCACCUGGACUGUGUCGCAAGGACCGUUAUCCAUCUGCCAUCUCACUGGCUGCAGAAACCUAUGUUGGAUGCUCAUUAAUUCAAGACAAAGGGAUGAGGGAGACUCUCAGACAUGACUGUGUCCUUGGCCCUGGAAAGAAAAUUGUCAGCAGUGCCACACUAAGAAUGCUAAGGCAAAGAGAAGACUCUCAAAUACAAGAGGCAUAGACAACAUCCUCAGAAACGGAUCGAGGGAAACAUGCAAGGCUGGAAUGCCCGCAGAUCUGCUUCCAGAGGGGUCUGCUUCACUGUAUCUAUAUAACCUGCUCUCAAAUGAAUUCCUAUCUCAAAACCAGAAA
rnacentral:lncRNA from 1 species